rnacentral:lncRNA from 1 species
CUACUAUUUGCUAGAGAAAAAAGCAGCAGUAGUGGCAUUAAGGGCUGUAACUCUUCAGUGGCUCAGGUUAAUGAAGGCAACAUCAAAAUUCCUGCAAAACCAAGGAGAAAGUCUUUGCUUUUCGUGCUGCAGCAGGAGACCUUAAUUUCUACCAGUAAGGCUUUGUAAGAAGGAAAAACUCAAGAAAGCUGCAUGAUUGAAUUGAAAAAACAGCUCAUUUCCAAGAUAAUCCAGAUGUCAGAAACAUGUUUUCCUACCACAUUUUGAAUCACUCUAAGAAAAACCUGGUCUGUGACUGAGUCUGAGUAAGCCAGGACCCCUAAAAUAAAUACCUGAGUUUCCUAAAGACCA